AUUGAACGCUGGCGGCAGGCCUAACACAUGCAAGUCGAACGAGCGGCGGACGGGUGAGUCAUGUCUGGGAAUCUUCCUGAUGGAGGGGGAUAACUACUGGAAACGGUAGCUAAUACCGCAUCACAUCAGCUGAACCCAUAUGGGAUUAGCUAGUAGGUGAGGUAAAGGCUCACCUAGGCGACGAUCCCUAGCUGGGCGGAGAGGAUGACCAGCCACACUGGAACUGAGACACGGUCCAGACUCCUACGGGAGGCAGCAGUGGGGAAUAUUGCACAAUGGGCGCAAGCCUGAUGCAGCCAUGCCGCGUGUAUGAAGAAGGCCUUCGGGUUGUAAAGUACUUUCAGCCGGGAGGCGUUACCCGCAGAAGAAGCACCGGCUAACUCCGUGCCAGCAGCCGCGGUAAUUC
rnacentral:rRNA from 1 species